CAGGCCUAACACAUGCAAGUCGAACGAAGGCUUCGGCCUUAGUGGCGCACGGGUGCGUAACGCGUGGGAAUCUGCCCUUGGGUUCGGAAUAACAGCGAGAAAUUGCUGCUAAUACCGGAUAAUGACGUAAGUCCAAAGAUUUAUCGCCCAGGGAUGAGCCCGCGUAGGAUUAGCUAGUUGGUGGGGUAAAGGCCUACCAAGGCGACGAUCCUUAGCUGGUCUGAGAGGAUGAUCAGCCACACUGGGACUGAGACACGGCCCAGACUCCUACGGGAGGCAGCAGUGGGGAAUAUUGGACAAUGGGCGAAAGCCUGAUCCAGCAAUGCCGCGUGAGUGAUGAAGGCCCUAGGGUUGUAAAGCGAUUUUACCCGGGAUGAUAAUGACAGGA
rnacentral:rRNA from 1 species